UGAGUCGGUUGGGUGACUGCCCCGACACUUGUGUCGGGGAGGAAAGUCCGAGCACUGCAGGACAGGGUGCCUCCUAACGGGAGGAGUCCGCGAGGGCAUGGAAAGUGCAACAGAAAAAAAACCGUCACGACAUCUUUGAUGUCGGGAUAAGGGUGAAAAGGUGGUGUAAGAGACCACCAGUUUCCGUAGCAAUGCGGGAAGCUUGUAAACCCCACUCAGUGCAAGAUCGAAUAUAUCUCCAGAUGUUGUCCGCAUCGUAAUGAGAGACGGGUAGAUUGCGUAAUCCUGACUGUGAAGUCUGGAUCAGAUAAAUGGUCACUAAUUCUGCUUUAGCAGAAAAACAAAACUCGGCUUACAGACCGGCUCAUUUU
rnacentral:RNase_P_RNA from 1 species